rnacentral:rRNA from 1 species
CUCGUAGGCGGCCAACUAAGUCAUACGUGAAAUCCCUCAGCUUAACUGGGGAACUGCGUGUGAUACUGGAUGGCUUGGAUUUGGGAGAGGGAUGCGGAAUUCCAGGUGUAGCGGUGAAAUGCGUAGAUAUCUGGAGGAACACCGGUGGCGAAGGCGGCAUCCUGGACCAAUAUUGACGCUGAGGAGCGAAAGCCAGGGGAGCAAACGGGAUUAGAUACCCCGGUAGUCCUGGCCCUAAACGAUGAAUGCUUGGUGUAGCGGGUAUCGAUCCCUGCUGUGCCGAAGCUAACGCAUUAAGCAUUCCGCCUGGGGAGUACGGUCGCAAGGCUGAA